AUUGAACGCUGGCGGCAGGCCUAACACAUGCAAGUCGAGCGAGCGGCGGACGGGUGAGUAAUGUCUGGGGAUCUGCCUGAUGGCGGGGGAUAACUACUGGAAACGGUAGCUAAUACCGCAUACCAUCAGAUGAACCCAUAUGGGAUUAGCUAGUAGGUGAGGUAACGGCUAACCUAGGCGACGAUCCCUAGCUGGUCUGAGAGGAUGACAAGCCACACUGGAACUGAGACACGGCCCAGACUCCUACGGGAGGAAGCAGUGGGGAAUAUUGCAAAAUGGGCGCAAGCCUGAUGCAGCCAUGCCGCGGGUAUGAAGAAGGCCUUCGGGUUGUAAAGUACUUUCAGUGGGGAGGCGUUACCGGCAGAAGAAGCACCGGCUAACUCCGUGCCAGCAGCCGCGGUAAUUC
rnacentral:rRNA from 1 species